rnacentral:rRNA from 1 species
AGUGAACGCUGGCGGUAGGCCUAACACAUGCAAGUCGAACGGCAGCACAGUAAGAGCUUGCUCUUACGGGUGGCGAGUGGCGGACGGGUGAGGAAUACAUCGGAAUCUACUUUUUCGUGGGGGAUAACGUAGGGAAACUUACGCUAAUACCGCAUACGACCUACGGGUGAAAGCAGGGGAUCUUCGGACCUUGCGCGAUUGAAUGAGCCGAUGUCGGAUUAGCUAGUUGGCGGGGUAAAGGCCCACCAAGGCGACGAUCCGUAGCUGGUCUGAGAGGAUGAUCAGCCACACUGGAACUGAGACACGGUCCAGACUCCUACGGGAGGCAGCAGUGGGGAAUAUGGGACAAGGGGCGCAAGCCUGAUCCAGCCAUACCGCGUGGGUGAAGAAGGCCUUCGGGUUGUAAAGCCCUUUUGUUGGGAAAGAAAAGCAGCAGGUUAAUACCCCGCCGUUCUGACGGUACCCAAAGAAUAAGCACCGGCUAACUUCGUG